UCUCCGUAGGUGAACCUGCGGAGGGAUCAUUACAGAGUUCAUGCCCUACCGGGUAAAUCUCCCACCCUAUGUUAUUAUUACUUUGUUGCUUUGGCGGGCCGUUAGGCUCCGGCCCGACUACCGGCCCCGGCUGGUAAGCGCCCGCCAGAGGACCCAAAACCCUGAAUAUUAGUGUCGUCUGAGUACUAUAUAAUAGUUAAAACUUUCAGCAACGGAUCUCUUGGCUCUC
rnacentral:misc_RNA from 1 species